UACGUAGGGGGCAAGCGUUAUCCGGAUUUACUGGGUGUAAAGGGAGCGUAGACGGCAGCGCAAGUCUGGAGUGAAAUGCCGGGGCCCAACCCCGGAACUGCUUUGGAAACUGUGCAGCUCGAGUGCAGGAGAGGUAAGCGGAAUUCCUAGUGUAGCGGUGAAAUGCGUAGAUAUUAGGAGGAACACCAGUGGCGAAGGCGGCUUGCUGGACUGCAACUGACGUUGAGGCUCGAAGGCGUGGGGAGCAAACAGG
rnacentral:rRNA from 1 species